rnacentral:lncRNA from 1 species
GUUUAGUGGCUUGAUGAUGUCAGCAGCUCCGGUUUCAUUCCUGGCUAUCUUCCCUGGGCUGUCUUUGCCUUCUGGACAGCUUGCUUCCUAUCUCUAAGAUAGCAGCUGUUGUCCAGACCUCAACCCAGACCUCCAGCCGAGAAAACGCCCUACCACCACCACCAUCCAGCAGACCUCCUGCUCAAGACUUAAACCAUGGUGGGCCCAAAUGAUGGGAUUAUCCUGAUUGGUUUAGAUUCCUCAGUAUUUAUUUACCCCUGAGAAGGGACAGGGGUCAAUGUCCCUGUGGGAGCUGCCAGAACCAAGGCUGUCGGGGUUGUUCAUAGGAUGGUGUUGGGUGGGCAAGUUUAGGGCUGGGUUGGAAGGAGGACUCUGCUUGGAGCACUCUCUGUGAGCAGAGCACCUAGUCCUGGUGCCUGGUGAUCACAGAGUAGGUGAUCAAUAGAUCGUUGAGUGAAUGAACACAUGGAUGGAUGAAUGAAUCCCAGAACACUGGAGUUAGCACCUGCGUUUUCCAGCUGCAGAAACUGAAACUUGACACUGAGUCACUUGCUGAUAAGUGGCAGCGCUGGGAUUCGAACCCCGGCUCCAGGGCCGUGUCUCAUCCUACCUCCCACACUUUUUACCGGAACAGUUGUUGACUCAGCCCUGGGUGCCCCGGGGCGGGGGUGGGGGGGUGGUGGACAGCUAGACCCAGAGAUGAGGAGGCAAGGGUGGGGUACAGCAAGACAGCCUCCUGGGGGAAGGUAUAGUGAGUAAUAAUCACACUGACAAUCAGAGUUGUGUUCAGCUCGAGCCCCCACAUUGGGAGCUCUUUAUCCUACACAAAUCUCCUUCCCACCAUCGGCUGAUCCAGCCCUCACCUGGAUCAAUCCGCACCUGGAUGUAGCGAUCUACUUCCGUGGGGCGGGCGCCUAGCCCAGGGCAGUGACGGCGGAU